rnacentral:rRNA from 1 species
UGGUAACCGUAGAGUUUGAUCAUGGCUCAGGAUAAGUCGUAACAAGGUAACCGUAAGUCGUAACAAGGAACCGUAGAGUUUGAUCAUGGCUCAGCUUGCUAAAAGGAGAAGUCGUAACAAGGUAACCGUAAAGUCGUAACAAGGUAACCGUAGAGUUUGAUCAUGGCUCAGCAUAUAAAGAAGUCGUAACAAGGUAACCGUAAGUCGUAACAAGGUAGCCGUAGAGUUUGAUCCUGGCUCAGCCUUUGACUUAAAAAAAUGGAGGAAGUCGUAACAAGGUAACCAAUCUG